rnacentral:rRNA from 1 species
UACGUAGGGUGCAAGCGUUGUCCGGAAUUAUUGGGCGUAAAGAGCUCGUAGGCGGUCUGUCGCGUCGGCUGUGAAAUCCCGAGGCUCAACCUCGGGUCUGCAGUCGAUACGGGCAAACUGGAGUGUUGCAGGGGAGACUGGAAUUCCUGGUGUAGCGGUGAAAUGCGCAGAUAUCAGGAGGAACACCGGUGGCGAAGGCGGGUCUCUGGGCGACAACUGACGCUGAGGAGCGAAAGCGUGGGGAGCGAACAGG